ensembl:lncRNA
GGUUAAAAGAAUAUACUAUUCUGGGUCUUAAACUGCUCAGCGACUGGGAACUCAUUGAAGUCACCGCCUUCUGUAGGAAUGACAUUCAUCUCAGAAGAUUUGGCACUGACUAUCUCACAAUCCAGGGAGUUCUUGCUCAGAUUUCGCAUGUCAGCCAUAAUGUACCACCUCAGACUUCUGUCUCACCUCCGGACCGCGAUUGGCCUCUCUCUACUUCCGGCAAGAACCGCCCAGCAACCUUUGCGCCUAUACAUACCCAUUUUUUUAAAAGGAGUAUCUUUUAAGCUAAGUGAAACCCUCACGCUGGAAUUCACCUUGGCUGACAGAUGUUUGCGCCACCAGGAAGGACCCAAGUCCGACCACAUACGGGCAACUAGCAAGAUGAUUGGCCAAAGACAACCAGGAAAACUGAUGCCAUUGCCAUAAAACCUGAGGCUGUGAGCCACAUGGCAGAGCAGUUCUCCUGGGUUCCCUUAACCUGCCCUUCUCCACCUGGGUACCCCUUUCCAAUAAAGUCUUGGGCUUUGUCACGUCAGUACGUGUGUCUCCUUGGACAAUUCAUUUCUGACUAUUAGACAAGAGCCCACUCUCGGGUCCUAAAG